rnacentral:lncRNA from 1 species
UAAGUGUGAUUUGAAAUGGCUCUUCAUCGCAGAAGUAAUAUUGUUUUUUUACUUUUUUUUUUCAUUGCUUCUGUUUUGAUCUUCUUUUCGAUAUACUUCGGUUAGUUUGUUCUAUAUUAUAAUAUUACUAGGGCAGAAGCUUUAGUCUUUGAUCUUUGUGCUCAUUGCUUGUUCUGUUUCUUUUUUUCCAGCUUAUAUUGAUGUGAACUGAUAUGAUUACAAAGUAGAUUUAGGUUUAGAGAUGGAAUUGUUUUAGAUUUUUCUUUUAUAUAAGAUUAUCUAGGUCAUUUGCAGUCCAUUGAAAACCUGUAAAGCAUGGUUAUGGUUCAAAGAAUCAACAUCGCCAAUUGACCAACAGAAAAAGAAAACAGAAGCGCCAGAUAACUUUAAUAUCAGAGAUCUUGGCCUAACCACAGUAUACAAAAUUUUUGUUGUAUAAUUUAAUUUGUGCAGCUAUUCUUUUCUUUUCAAUUAUAAAUGGGCUAUUAUUAAUGUUGUUGUCAUUGUCAUAAUCAUCAUUUUGUGGUUUUAAUGCAC